GACGAACGCUGGCGGCGUGCUUAACACAUGCAAGUCGAACGGUAAGGCCCUUUCUGUGGUACAGGAGUGGCGGACGGGUACGUAACACGUAGGUGUUCUUCCCUGCCCUUUGGGAUAGGCCUGAGAAACUGGGUCUGAUGCUGGAUAGGGCUACGCGCUGCAUGUCGCGUGGGGGUAAGCGUUUGGGGUGUGGGAUGGGCACGCGGGCCAUCCGCUUGUUGGUGGGGUGGUGGCCGACCAAGGCUACGACGGGUAGGCGGCCUGAGAGGGUGGCCGGCCACACUGGGACUGAGAUACGGCCCAGACUCCUACGGGGGGCAGCAGUGGGGAGGAUUGCACAAUGGGCGCAAGCCUGAUGCAGCGACGCCGCGUGGGGGAUGUCGGCCUUCGGGUUGUAAACCGCUUUCAGCACAGACGAAGCGUAAGUGACGGUAUGUGCAGAAGAAGCACCGGCCAACUACGUG
rnacentral:rRNA from 1 species